UACGGAGGGUGCAAGCGUUAUCCGGAUUCACUGGGUUUAAAGGGUGCGUAGGUGGGUUGGUAAGUCAGUGGUGAAAUCUCCAGGCUUAACUUGGAAACUGCCAUUGAUACUAUCAAUCUUGAAUACCGUGGAGGUCAGCGGAAUAUGUCAUGUAGCGGUGAAAUGCUUAGAUAUGACAUAGAACACCAAUUGCGGAGGCAGCUGGCUAUACGAAUAUUGACACUGAUGCACGAAAGCGUGGGGAUCAAACAGG
rnacentral:rRNA from 1 species